rnacentral:sRNA from 1 species
UGGAUAAUCUAGAAGAAAUGGACAAAUUGCUAAACAUUCAACUACCAAAAGUGAUUCAUGAAGAAGCAGAAAAUCUACAACACUGUUUGGCAUCAAUAUGGUGACCUCCCAGGAGCGAGGGACAACCAGGUUGCCUAAGGAGGGGUGAACCGGCCCAGGUCGGAAAUGGAGCAGGUCAAAACUCCCGUGCUGAUCAGUAGCGGGAUUGCGCCUGUGAAUAGCCACUGCCCUCCAGCCUGGGCAACACAGCAAGACCCCAUCUCU